AUUGAACGCUGGCGGCAGGCCUAACACAUGCAAGUCGAGCGAGCGGCGGACGGGUGAGUAAUGCCUGGGAAUUGCCCAGUCGAGGGGGAUAACAGAUGGACACGACUGCUAAUACAGCAUACGAUUGGCUUGCCGAGGUGGGAUUAGCUAGUUGGUGGGGUAAUCGCUCACCAAGGCGACGAUCCCUAGCUGGUCUGAGAGGAUGACCCGCCACACGUGAACUGAGACACGGUCCAGACUCCUACGGGAGGCAGCAGUGGGGAAUAUUGCACAAUGGGGGAAACCCUGAUGCAGCCAUGCCGCGUGUGUGAAGAAGGCCUUCGGGUUGUAAAGCACUUUAAGCGAGGAGGCGUUACUCGCAGAAGAAGCACCGGCUAACUCCGUGCCAGCAGCCGCGGUAAUUC
rnacentral:rRNA from 1 species